rnacentral:sRNA from 1 species
UUUUAAGGAACGCCGACCAAGUUCGCCUCGUUCUGAGGCAACGUCGGCAUGACCCGGAUCCUCCGGG